ensembl:lncRNA
CCCCUCCAUAUCUGAAGCCUUUUAAAGCAACGCAGUACCAAAGCACAACAGGUGACACAAAGGACCAGGAGGCAAGCAAGGCUAUCCAUGGAGUUCACAGGGAACCCCUAUAUUACCACAUUUAAAAGCAACAUCCGCUGAGUUUGUUUUUUUUUUCUGUGAAACUCAUCAUGGAAAUGUUAACAAAGUAAGGGUGAGCUGGACCACUGGCACAGACUGAGGCAAGUGUGUCAUUCAGAUGAGAUUUCCGCAAAGCAUUUUAUGAAAGACUUCUCCAUAGGGAGAUUGCUGCUGUUUGUAGUGCUACUUCAAGUCCUCAAAAGAUUGUCUUCAAGUCUAUUAACAUGAGCCGAAAACAGAAGGUAAGGAAGAGGGAAGUUAUCUUCCAGCAGCUUGGUAUCCAGGGAGUUAAAAAAAUAUGCAGACCAUCAGCCUUUGAAAAUCUUCCUGCC